UACGUAGGGUGCGAGCGUUAAUCGGAAUUACUGGGCGUAAAGCGUGCGCAGGCGGUUUGCUAAGACAGGUGUGAAAUCCCCGGGCUUGACCUGGGAACUGCGCUUGUGACUGGCAGGCUAGAGUGAAGUAGGGGUAAGCGGAACUUGCGGUGGAGCGGUGAAAUGCUUUGAUAUCGCAAGGAACACCGGCGGCGAAGGCGGCUUACUGUGCUUCAACUGACGCUUAAGCGCGAAAGCUAGGGUAGCGAACGGGAUUAGAUACCCGUGUAGUCCCU
rnacentral:rRNA from 1 species